rnacentral:rRNA from 1 species
UGGGGAAUUUUGGACAAUGGGCGAAAGCCUGAUCCAGCAAUGCCGCGUGUGUGAAGAAGGCCUUCGGGUUGUAAAGCACUUUUGUCCGGAAAGAAAUCCUUGGCUCUAAUACAGUCGGGGGAUGACGGUACCGGAAGAAUAAGCACCGGCUAACUACGUGCCAGCAGCCGCGGUAAUACGUAGGGUGCAAGCGUUAAUCGGAAUUACUGGGCGUAAAGCGUGCGCAGGCGGUUUGCUAAGACCGAUGUGAAAUCCCCGGGCUCAACCUGGGAACUGCAUUGGUGACUGCAAGGCUAGAGUAUGGCAGAGGGGGGUAGAAUUCCACGUGUAGCAGUGAAAUGCGUAGAGAUGUGGAGGAAUACCGAUGGCGAAGGCAGCCCCCUGGGCCAAUACUGACGCUCAUGCACGAAAGCGUGGGGAGCAAACAGGAUUAGAUACCCUGGUAGUCCACGCCCUAAACGAUGUCAACUAGUUGUUGGGGAUUCAUUUCCUUAGUAACGUAGCUAACGCGUGAAGUUGACCGCCUGGGGAGUACGGUCGCAAGAUUAAAACUCAAAGGAAUUGACGGGGUCAUAGCUGUUUCCU